ACAAUGAUACUUCCGUCCAGCCACAGACUCAAGCAAUGGGGGCGGUUCUGAGAGAACCUCAGAAUGGUGAGAUUCCAAUGA
rnacentral:ncRNA from 1 species